rnacentral:rRNA from 1 species
ACCCGCACAAGCGGUGGAUGAUGUGGAUUAAUUCGAUGCAACGCGAAAACCUUACCUACCUUGACAUGUCCGGAAUCCUGCAGAGAUGCGGGAGUGCCGAAAGGGAAUCGGAACACAGGUGCUGCAUGGCUGUCGUCAGCUCGUGUCGUGAGAUGUUGGGUUAAGUCCCGCAACGAGCGCAACCCUUAUCAUUAGUUGCUACGCAAGGGCACUCUAAUGAGACUGCCGGUGACAAACCGGAGGAAGGUGGGGAUGACGUCAAGUCCUCAUGGCCCUUAUGGGUAGGGCUUCACACGUCAUACAAUGGUCGGUACAGAGGGUUGCCAAGCCGCGAGGUGGAGCCAAUCCCAGAAAGCCGAUCGUAGUCCGGAUUGUUCUCUGCAACUCGAGAGCAUGAAGUCGGAAUCGCUAGUAAUCGCGGAUCAGCAUGUCGCGGUGAAUACGUUCCCGGGUCUU